rnacentral:rRNA from 1 species
CAAAAAGUAAGUAAGGGCACAUGGCGGAUGCCUUGGCUCUCGGAGGCGAUGAAGGACGUGAUAAGCUGCGAUAAGCCGCGGGUAGGUGCAAAUGACCUUUGAUCCGCGGAUUUCCGAAUGGGACAACCCGAUAUCCUGAAGGGAUAUCAUCCCGCAAUGCGGGAGGCUAACGCAGGGAACUGAAACAUCUUAGUACCUGCAGGAAAAGAAAAUAAAUAAUGAUUCCCCCAGUAGUGGCGAGCGAACGGGGAACAGCCCAAACCAUCCAUGUUACGGCAUGUGUGGGGUUGUAGGACCACGUUGUGGCAAGAAAGUUGGUGAGCAGAAUGUUCUGGAAAGUACAGCCAUAGAGCAUGAUAGCUGCGUAUGCGAAGCCAACCGAAGCCUAGUGGUAUCCUGAGUAGCGCGGAGCACGAGGAAUUCUGCGUGAAUCUGCCGGGACCAUCCGGUAAGGCUAAAUACUCCCGAGAGACCGAUAGUGAACCAGUACUGUGAAGGAAAGGUGAAAAGCACUUCGAACAGAAGAGUGAAAUAGUUCCUGAAACCAUGUGCCUACAAGCGGUCGGAGCACUUUUAGUGUGACGGCGUGCCUUUUGCAUAAUGAACCUACGAGUUACUUUUUCCGGCGAGGUUAAGGAUCUCAGAUCCGCAGCCGAAGCGAAAGCGAGUCUGAACAGGGCGUAUAGUCGGAAGGAGUAGACGCGAAACCAAGUGAUCUACCCUUGGGCAGGUUGAAGGAUGGGUAACACCAUCUGGAGGACCGAACCAAUAAGCGUUGAAAAGCUUCUGGAUGACCUGAGGGUGGGGGUGAAAGGCUAAUCAAACUUGGAGAUAGCUCGUACUCCCCGAAAUGCAUUUAGGUGCAGCCUUGACUUAUACUGACAUGAGGUAGAGCGACUGAUAAGAUGCGAGGGCUUCACCGCCUAUCAAGUCUUGACAAACUCCGAAUGCGUGUCAGUUCUAUGUCAGGAGUGAGGGCAUGGGUGCUAAGGUCCAUGUCCUAAAGGAGAACAAUCCGGACCAACAGCUAAGGUCCCGAAAUGAAUACUAAGUUGAACUAACGAAGUCAGAUUGCUAAGACAGCUAGGAUGUUGGCUUGGAAGCAGCCAUUCAUUUAAAGAGUGCGUAACAGCUCACUAGUCGAGGAGUUUGGCGUGGAUAAUAAUCGGGCAUAAGUAUUCUACCGAAGCUUUGGGAUGAGAAAUCAUCGGUAGGGGAGCAUUCCACUC